rnacentral:rRNA from 1 species
GACGAAGGUGGCAAGCGUUGUUCGGAAUCACUGGGCUUAAAGAGCACGUAGGCGGCCCUUCAAGUGCCUUGUGAAAUCCCCCGGCUCAACCGGGGAAUUGCAUGGCAAACUGUAGGGCUUGAGGCAGGUAAGGGCGAGUGGAACUCUUGGUGGAGCGGUGGAAUGCGUAGAUAUCAAGAGGAACGCCGGUGGUGAAGACGACUCGCUGGGCCUGUCCUGACGCUGAGGUGCGAAAGCCAGGGGAGCAAACGGG